rnacentral:rRNA from 1 species
AUGGUGGCAGUGGUUUCACGUGCUCGUCUCGGCGUCCGUCGUCGCUACCGCGACGAUGUCCGCCUCGACUCGCGUUACGCUAAGACAGGGUGGCUAUGCUGUGACGUGCUCGUCUCGGCGUCUGUCGUCGCUACUGCGACGACGUCUGCCUCGACUCGCGUUAUACUAAGACAGGGUGGGAAUGGUGUCACGUGCUCGUCUCGGUGUCCGUCGUCGCUACCGCGACGACGUCCGCCCCGACUCGCGUUACGCUCAGUGGUGUCACGUGCUCGUCUCGGCGUCCGUUGUCGCUACCGCGAGGACGUCCGCCCCGACUCGCGUUACGCUAAGACAGGGUGGCAGUGGUGUCACGUACUUGUCUCCGCAUCCGUCGUUGCUACCGCGAUGACGUCCGCCUCGACUCUCAUUACGCUAAGAGAGGGUGGCAGUGGUGUCACGUGCUCAUCUUGGCGUCCGUCAUUGUUACUGCGACGACAUCCGCCUCGACUCGUGUUACGCUAA